rnacentral:rRNA from 1 species
UACGAAGGGGGCUAGCGUUGCUCGGAAUCACUGGGCGUAAAGGGUGCGUAGGCGGGUCUUUAAGUCAGGGGUGAAAUCCUGGAGCUCAACUCCAGAACUGCCUUUGAUACUGAAGAUCUUGAGUUCGGGAGAGGUGAGUGGAACUGCGAGUGUAGAGGUGAAAUUCGUAGAUAUUCGCAAGAACACCAGUGGCGAAGGCGGCUCACUGGCCCGAUACUGACGCUGAGGCACGAAGGCUAGGGGAGCAAACGGG